GUGGGGAAUCUUGCGCAAUGGGCGAAAGCCUGACGCAGCCAUGCCGCGUGAAUGAUGAAGGUCUUAGGAUUGUAAAAUUCUUUCACCGGGGACGAUAAUGACGGUACCCGGAGAAGAAGCUCCGGCUAACUUCGUGCCAGCAGCCGCGGUAAUACGAAGGGGGCUAGCGUUGCUCGGAAUUACUGGGCGUAAAGGGCGCGUAGGCGGACAGCUUAGUCAGAGGUGAAAGCCCAGGGCUCAACCUUGGAAUUGCCUUUGAUACUGGCUGUCUUGAGUUUGGGAGAGGUGAGUGGAACUCCGAGUGUAGAGGUGAAAUUCGUAGAUAUUCGGAAGAACACCAGUGGCGAAGGCGACUCACUGGCCCAAUACUGACGCUGGGGCGCGAAAGCGUGGGGAGCAAACAGGAUUAGAUACCCCUGUAGUCC
rnacentral:rRNA from 1 species